rnacentral:rRNA from 1 species
GGAUAACAGGUUGAUAUUCCUGUACCACCUAUAAUCGUUUUAAUCGAUGGGGGGACGCAGUAGGAUAGGCGAAGCGUGCGAUUGGAUUGCACGUCUAAGCAGUAAGGCUGAGUAUUAGGCAAAUCCGGUACUCGUUAAGGCUGAGCUGUGAUGGGGAGAAGACAUUGUGUCUUCGAGUCGUUGAUUUCACACUGCCGAGAAAAGCCUCUAGAUAGAAAAUAGGUGCCCGUACCGCAAACCGACACAGGUAGUCAAGAUGAGAAUUCUAAGGUGAGCGAGCGAACUCUCGUUAAGGAACUCGGCAAAAUGACCCCGUAACUUCGGGAGAAGGGGUGCUCUUUAGGGUUAACGCCCAGAAGAGCCGCAGUGAAUAGGCCCAAGCGACUGUUUAUCAAAAACACAGGUCUCUGCUAAACCGUAAGGUGAUGUAUAGGGGCUGACGCCUGCCCGGUGCUGGAAGGUUAAGAGGAGUGGUUAGCUUCUGCGAAGCUACGAAUCGAAGCCCCAGUAAACGGCGGCCGUAACUAUAACGGUCCUAAGGUAGCGAAAUUCCUUGUCGGGUAAGUUCCGACCCGCACGAAAGGCGUAACGAUUUGGGCACUGUCUCAACGAGAGACUCGGUGAAAUCAUAGUACCUGUGAAGAUGCAGGUUACCCGCGACAGGACGGAAAGACCCCGUGGAGCUUUACUGUAGCCUGAUAUUGAAAUUCGGCACAGCUUGUACAGGAUAGGUAGGAGCCUUUGAAACGUGAGCGCUAGCUUACGUGGAGGCGCUGGUGGGAUACUACCCUAGCUGUGUUGGCUUUCUAACCCGCACCACUUAUCGUGGUGGGAGACAGUGUCAGGCGGGCAGUUUGACUGGGGCGGUCGCCUCCUAAAAGGUAACGGAGGCGCUCAAAGGUUCCCUCAGAAUGGUUGGAAAUCAUUCAUAGAGUGUAAAGGCAUAAGGGAGCUUGACUGCGAGACCUACAAGUCGAGCAGGGUCGAAAGACGGACUUAGUGAUCCGGUGGUUCCGCAUGGAAGGGCCAUCGCUCAACGGAUAAAAGCUACCCCGGGGAUAACAGGCUUAUCUCCCCCAAGAGUUCACAUCGACGGGGAGGUUUGGCACCUCGAUGUCGGCUCAUCGCAUCCUGGGGCUGUAGUCGGUCCCAAGGGUUGGGCUGUUCGCCCAUUAAAGCGGUACGCGAGCUGGGUUCAGAACGUCGUGAGACAGUUCGGUCCCUAUCCGUCGUGGGCGUAGGAAAUUUGAGAGGAGCUGUCCUUAGUACGAGAGGACCGGGAUGGACAUACCUCUGGUGUACCAGUUGUCGUGCCAACGGCAUAGCUGGGUAGCUAUGUGUGGACGGGAUAAGUGCUGAAAGCAUCUAAGCAUGAAGCCCCCCUCAAGAUGAGAUUUCCCAACUUCGGUUAUAAGAUCCCUCAAAGAUGAUGAGGUUAAUAGGUUCGAGGUGGAAGCAUGGUGACAUGUGGAGCUGACGAAUACUAAUCGAUCGAAGACUUAAUCAA